GCCCUUGUAGCUCAAUUGGAUAGAGCAGUGGCCUUCGAAGCCAUGUGUUGCGGGUUCGAGUCCUGUCAGGGGUUCCA
rnacentral:tRNA from 1 species